rnacentral:piRNA from 1 species
UAGGUUGAUGCACCUUCAGGGUAUCCUUUCU